AAUCUCUAUUCUCACUGACCUUUCACACAAACUCACGAACAUGGCCAAAUGCGUGCUCCGCUCAGGCCGGCGCUACGAACCCACGAGCGGAGCCACAUCCUGGUCAAAAACCAGGACCGUCUGUCCACUCCGACGUCUGACCCACAUGAUCUCAUCUCACGGCUGUCGUGAAGCUGGCGGACGCCAUCCCCUCUCGCCGCCUUCCGCACCCGCAGCUCGCCGCCUUCCGCACCCGCAGCUCACCUUCGUGCUGCUCUCGCUCUCGGUGUGCCCUGCCCCCGCGUCGCGCUUCCGUGCCCGUCCUGCGCGUGGCUUCCGACGACAGGGCCGACGCCGCGGAGGUGGACGGACGGAUGAGCCGACGGCGGCGGUGCCGACGCGCAAGGUGAGGAACGAGUAGGAGCGACGGAGGUACCUGGUUGUCGCGAUGAUGUCCAGCCUCAGGAUUACCUCCAUGCUGCCGCCACCGUGUACUGCCGCUUCGCCUCGCAACUGGAAAGUAGUCUUUCUCUGUCCACCCUGCCUGGCAAUUCCCCUUUUGAUUUUCCUUCGAAAUUUCAGCUCCUCUAAAUUUUGUUGACCCGUUCCUACUGCUUUGUGUUUGAAAGGGUGGCGAGAUUUCAGAGAAAAUAUUUGGCACCUUCGCACUUUCCGUGGGCGCAGGGGUGAGCAAUCCUGACGCACGCACCAGCAAAAUCUGUGGGGAUGGCUCGCGCAGGUCGGGAUGGAGUUGUGAGUGCGGACGUGCGGUGGGUGCACCGCGCGCUGUGGCACGGCUCGCUGUGGCACAUGCAGAGUCCCAGUACCGGCCCCGCGACGGGCCCUUCCAGCUGAUCGACGUCUUCGCCAUCGUCAACACCGUCCCCGCCAUAUCCCUCCUCGCCUUCGUCUUCUUCAACAGCGGAAUCCCCAUGGCUCAUGGCUGAGCUCCUCCCUGCCCUAGCGAGGUCCCCUUGCUAUGGUGUACGGUCUCCUUCCUGUCCUCUCUCCCCUGGCCGUCAAACAUUUACCUCCGUUUGUGUGUGUAGACAAGAAGAGGCAGGCAAGCCGAAAGGCCGUGGCCCGUGGGCUCCAAGGAGGCAGCGGGAAUGCAGCGAUGGAGUAGGCGAACAAGGUUGGUUAGACUAUAUAUAUGGGCACAGGAGGAAGCAGUGAAGGGGACAUCCAGCGAGGCGUUGAGGAGGGCUGAGCAGGCCAACAGAAGACUGAGGCCAGAGAGCUCCUUGACACACUCGCACGGAGGAAGAUGACGGGCACACAUGGGUGGUUUUCUUUGAUCACCACAACCACUGCAGAUGUUCAUCAUCUUUGAAUGCCCCUGUGUCCACCAUAUCCUUGACGCUGUGAGUGCAGUGUGCACUGAUCAAGGUUUUUUUGUUCUUAUAUCAACAUUUCUUACUUUAUAGAUGUAGACUGGAGCUUUUAUGCUGCAUGUUAUUUACCUGCAUUAUAUUCUGGUGUUGCUCUGCAAGCCACGAGUAUGCACAUUUGAUAAGAAUUAAAGCUAUUUGUGUAUCUGCAAUAUAAUUGACUGGUUAGGCAUUUCUUGAUUUAAUAAUACAUAGUUGCCACCGUUCAUAUGUAUAUGUAUCUACUUUUGACUGCAUAAAUCAGAUGAUCGUUGAAGUGUGAAGGAGAUUGUUAUAUUUGGAAACUUAUUUGGGACUGACGGAUGAAGUAUUGCUUCUCUCCUAUUUCAGUUGGUACACUCUCUGGUGAGACCACUUAAUUUAUUACUUAUGACAUCAUGAUUUGUUGUAUCUCUCUACCGAAUAUUACUUCGAGUCCUCUUCCUUAAGAUUAUCUUUGUGACAUGUACGGUUAUUCAUAAUAGCUCAAUUGAAAUGUUCAGCUGUUUAGAUAGGUGUGUCCACAAUGAAGAGUUUGUUCUGGAAGUAGUUCAGAAAUUGCAAUGGUCUCAACAAGCGUUCCCUAAGAUGUAGAGCAAGCUUAAGGAGGGAACAUAUUGUGAAAGAUCUUUUGUAGGUAUGUAUUUUUUUCAUUUAGAUGAAUCGUAUUUUGGACCAACAUAUUUUGUUUGAGCUACUUUUUUUUCUUGGGCAACAAACAGAUCAGGUAAUUAGGGACUUAUUUUCCACUCUCUGGAAUAUAGCAUGUUACAUCUUUACUCAACAAGGGUUAGACCAUUUUGUGCAGGAUAAUAUGAGUGGCUAAAACAUAUGGUGCAAAUAGUGAAAAACAUAGUUGUUGCCAGUCAUUAGUUGUUGUUGUUUCCAGAAUUCGUUCUUUUCAUUUCAUCCUAUUGGGCAGUGAUAAUUUUCUACACAAAGUGGUCUUUUUUUUUUUGUUCAGCUAAUAAUGCUAGAGGAAUUGGUAAUAUCAACAAAGAGAACUCUGCAACUAAUUCAAUUGAAAGUGAAGGUUCGAUAUAUGCUACGAUCUCUAGAUUAUUAGAACCUUUUCUUAAAUUUUGCAUAUAGUUCAUCUUCGCACUGCUUUGAUGUUGUCCAUGCUUAUAGAAUUCAGUAGGUGCUGCUUAUCCCUAGCUGUUUUGUCUGUAAAUAUAUGGAUGUUUGAUAAUUUCUAUGUAUUGUUGCUCUUACUACCUAUGCUGGGGUAACAAUACUCUUGAGUACUAAGAAAUAUCAAUAAUCUCUUUAUGACUUCUAUAAAGUAUUUUCUCUAAUUCAGUCUUUGGUACAUGAAGUUUCUUCAUGUCACAAUCUAAAAAGUGUCGCCAUAUAUGUCCAUUCUAAUUAAGUUAGUUCUUAGCCUUUAAGACAAUGAGAUGUUGUUGUGUGUUGUGGUUUAGACCCUGAGUUGUUUUCCUUGUUUAAUUCAUCUGCAUGCCAAUCAAAUAUUACCAGGCAAAGGGCUAUCAUACAUGCCUCUAUGUUCUGGGUUAGACACUGAUAUUUUUCUUCCGUUAAUUGAUCUUCAUACCAAAUAAAUAUUCGGAAAAGGGGCAUCAAACACGCUUUGAUCCAAUGCUUCACAUGAUGUGCAGGUCUAUCGUCGUGUUGCAUAACGUGGCUGCUUUUUUUUUUAUUAUGGCUUAUGCUAAUGGUCUAGACUCGAGAUGGAACCGAUCAUUCAGCAUUUUAAUGUUGUUGUUUCCUGCCAUACUAUUUUGAAAAUGGCCGUUUAUUCCGAGUACUUGCAUUCUUAAAAUAUAUAUUGGGAUAAUGUGGUGUGGUGUGAGAGGUCGAUUUAUUUCUUGACAAGUUUUUUUAAUAACCAUUGAAAUACAUAAUUGCCUAAUGUUGCACAUGUUUAAGGGACUUAUUGGAAAACUGGGACAGUAAUUGGACUGGAUAGACAUAUGUGUAGGAAAAGAUGAAUCAGCAAUAUAAUUUCGCUUAAACUACACAUACGACAUGCAUUUCUAAUAAAAUAGGGGGAAGACGACAGCGUGGCAGAGGAUGGAAGCACGGCGGAUCGACCGUGGUGCCCAGAGAGGGGCACAUAGGUUGAAAUUAAGAGGCCAUGAAAGAUAUAUCCUGCCAAAUUUGUGUAAUAACAUGUCAUGAACUUUUUUUUGCUUCCUACAGUAGUAGUCCAUGUUAUCAUAUGAGUUCUAGCUAUGUAAUGAACUGCUGAAUUGCAACAAGCCUGUACUGCUGUGUCGAGUCACCACUUAUCACACAUAGCGCCCUAUUUACCAAUCGAGCGAUCAAUAUGCACUUAUAUUUUCAAGCUUACUUUACAUAUA